UUUCCGUAGGUGAACCUGCGGAAGGAUCAUUAUUGUAUAACCGAGGUGCGAGGGCUGUCGCUGACCCGAAAGGUCGUGCACGCCCGAGUGCUCUCACACACAUCCAUCUCACCCCUAUGUGCACCAGCGCGUGGGUCCCCCCUUGGCUUGUUCGGAGGGGGGCUUUCGUUUUCACACAAACUUUGUAUGCAGUGUAGAAUUUAUUUUUUGUUUUUGCGAUCACGCAAUAAAUACAACUUUCAACAACGGAUCUCUUGGCUCUC
rnacentral:misc_RNA from 1 species